GCUCUCCCAGCACUUCCUUGGUGGCAGCCCUCCUACCUCUGUUCCUCGCGCGUGCGUGCAAGUCCUCCUUUCCUCAGCCUCGGAGGUAGGGAGACGGUGGGGCCGUGGGCCUGAAGAUCCAGAGGCGAUGUGUCAGUCUGUAAGCAUCUAGUCUGCUGUUCGAGGAAAACACAUAAGGGUGCAGCUUAAGCGAAAGGAAAAAUGUCCUACUGCCAGUGUCUAAACCAACAGAGGAAUGUGUCUCCCAGACCAUCUAUCUGUAUUGGGUGGAUACACGCGCACUUAGCCACCCCACCGGUGUGCAGAGCUCUUGCUGUAUGCCGACGCUUUGCAGGAGCUAUCGCACAUAAGCUUCAGAACAACUCUAUGAGUUUUUGUUGCAAAACAACUUGUGUUUAAGUAUAUGAAGACAUUAUCAUUGUGAAGGUUAAAACAAUGAAUAUAUAAGUGCAGGAAGUGUUAAGGAGUGAGGAAAUGGAAGAAGGCUGGCACGUUUGCAUUAUGAAGGUACAAUUGAAAAAGGAAUGAAUUUUAGUAAUUUCAGAUCUAAAAGUAACAUGGCUAAGUAGUAUGUGCAUCUUAUAUCUGUAGGUACUUUGGUACUGGUUAAGUAAGUGGACUCUGGAAUCACAUUGCCUGGGUUUGAAUCCCAGCCCUGCUACUUGCUAGCUGUGACCCUACAGGAGUUACUUUUUCUGACUUUGAUUUUCUGUUGAAGCAGUAAGGCUAGUGCCUCGUUGAAUGGUUGUAACGAUGUAAAUGAGCUACUAUAUUUAAGGCAUUGAACAGUGCUUGGUAUAUUGGUAAAUAUCAACUAAUAGUCUUUAACAUUGAUCUUUCAAAAUGGCUUCUUUAAGAGAUGUUUUAAAAGUCAAAUUGUAGUUAGUCAUUAGGAAUUAGCAUUCAUGUUCAAGAGUCUUUUAAAAUGAUAAAUUAGCCUGAUCUAUGUUUUUUGCCAAAUACGAGUAAUGAUUUCUGUCAGAUGAAUAAGGAUAGUAAUUUGUAUACGAGUAACCUGGAAAAUGGUUUUAUUGCUCUUUCUAAAUGUUAAAAAAAAAUAAAAAAUCAGGCCAGUCUAAAAUAUAUAAAAUAAGAACCAUCCAAAUUUCUGUAAUCCAGAGAUAAUUACAUAUUAUUUGUAUUUUAAAAAUAUAAUGUACCUUUGGGAAAAAUCAGCUAGGGGAAGUCUAGAUAAGUGAUAUAUUUGGGGAACUUAUUUUCAAGACUAUAUUGAACUUCAUGAAUUGGUAAAUUUUUUAUAGUCCGUCAUGAGAAUGACAAUAUGAAAUUGAUAAUGUUUAUAAAUAAUACCAUUGAGUACCUACUCUGUCAGGUACUGUGCUAAGUAUAUAUGCAAUUUUCACUUGAAUCCUCAUAACAACGCUAGAGGUGGGUGCAAUUAUGAUCUCCAUUUUGCACAGACUAAAGUUUAUAUGGAAGUUACUUUUAGAUUUAAGCUAUUUUGUUUAAAAUAUUUUUUAAUAAACCCAAAAUAUUUAAAGCUCUUGAUUCAUUAAAAUGGCAGGGGGGAAAAUCAAGUUAACAUGAUUCCUAUGCCUGAAUAAAAAGUUCAAUUGAAAAAAAUGAAAAGUUUUAUUUGACCACAAGGGGGUGCAAAUUCCCGAGUUGAAUUUCAAAGGAAAAAAAAAAUAAAGCGUUUAGACCAUAAAUUCACAGGAAAGAAACUAGUAAGAAUACUUUCUCCAAAUUUUAAGACUCUACAGAAUGAUGUACUUUAUGAAAAGAAAGAACUUGAUUAUUUUAGGUACUCAAGGCAGUUUUCAGCUUUUUUCAUUUCCCUCACCCCUUUCAUCUAUCGAGUUUGUGUCUCUGCAUACUCUUUACUUGUCCUGACAGUAGAACUGAAGUCAUAAUUUAAAAUUCGAAGUUUUAGGUGGAAACUAGAAUGCAGUCAACAAAUACUAAAUAUGGAUUUAGGGUGGAUGUAGGAUGUAAGAUGUAGGGUGGAUGAUGGUAUGUUGGCUUCAACAUAUUAAAUUAUUUAGACAAAAUUGUGAAAUUUACAAAUAUGUUCAUAUUUUAAGAAAGAAUGAAGACCGUUAAAGAAGAAAGCAGCUUGAACGGUAACUUGAAAACUGCUAUACACUAUUGAAUGUUCUUAAAAAAACUUAUUUAGAUGGGUACCUUUCAUUUUCCUGUUGGUCUUAUUUCUCUGAGGGGAAUUUAAUU